UGUGGAGAUCUAUAACCAGUUGCCUUAACC
rnacentral:piRNA from 1 species